rnacentral:rRNA from 1 species
AGCGAACGCUGGCGGCAGGCCUAACACAUGCAAGUCGAACGAACCUUGCGGGGUUAGUGGCGGACGGGUGAGUAACACGUGGGAACGUGCCUUUAGGUUCGGAAUAACUCAGGGAAACUUGUGCUAAUACCGAAUGUGCCCUUCGGGGGAAAGAUUAAUCGCCUUUAGAGCGGCCCGCGUCUGAUUAGCUAGUUGGUUGAGGUAAUGGCUCACCAAGGCGACGAUCAGUAGCUGGUCUGAGAGGAUGAUCAGCCACAUUGGGACUGAGACACGGCCCAAACUCCUACGGGAAGCAGCAGUGGGGAAUCUUGCGCAAUGGGCGAAAGCCUGACGCAGCCAUGCCGCGUGAAUGAUGAAGGUCUUAGGAUUGUAAAAUUCUUUCACCGGGGACGAUAAUGACGGUACCCGGAGAAGAAGCCCCGGCUAACUUCGUG